AAAGACCCAUUGAGGAGAAGGU
rnacentral:miRNA from 1 species